rnacentral:tRNA from 1 species
GUCGUUACAUUCUAUUUAGGAUUAGGAAUAGGCGUAAUCGGACCUGCUUUUGACAUAUCUAUCGUUAUUUGGGUA